rnacentral:rRNA from 1 species
AUUGAACGCUGGCGGCAGGCCUAACACAUGCAAGUCGAGCGAGCGGCGGACGGGUGAGUAAUGUAUGGGGAACUGCCUGAUGGAGGGGGAUAACUACGGGAAACGGUAGCUAAUACCGCAUACCAUCAGAUGAACCCAGAUGGGAUUAGCUAGUAGGUGAGGUAACGGCUCACCUAGGCGACGAGCCCUAGCUGGUCUGAGAGGCUGAUCGGCCACACUGGAACUGAGACACGGCCCAGACUCCUACGGGAGGCAGCAGUGGGGAAUAUUGCACAAUGGGCGCAAGCCUGAUGCAGCCAUGCCGCGUGUGUGAAGAAGGCCUUCGGGUUGUAAAGCACUUUCAGCCGGGAGGCGUUACCCACAGAAGAAGCACCGGCUAACUCCGUGCCAGCAGCCGCGGUAAUUC